rnacentral:rRNA from 1 species
AUACGGAGGGUGCAAGCGUUGUCCGGAUUUAUUGGGUUUAAAGGGUGCGUAGGCGGAUAAUUAAGUCAGUGGUGAAAGACUGCAGCUCAACUGUAGAGGUGCCAUUGAUACUGAUUAUCUUGAGUACAGUUGAGGUAGGCGGAAUUUAUGGUGUAGCGGUGAAAUGCAUAGAUACCAUAAAGAACACCGAUAGCGAAGGCAGCUUACUGGACUGUAACUGACGCUGAGGCACGAAAGCGUGGGGAGCGAACGGGAUUAGAAACCCCAGUAGUCC